rnacentral:rRNA from 1 species
AGCGAACGCUGGCGGCAGGCCUAACACAUGCAAGUCGAACGAAGUCUUCGGACUUAGUGGCGGACGGGUGAGUAACACGUGGGAACGUGCCUUUAGGUUCGGAAUAACUCAGGGAAACUUGUGCUAAUACCGAAUGUGCCCUUCGGGGGAAAGAUUUGUCGCCUUUAGAGCGGCCCGCGUCUGAUUAGCUAGUUGGUGAGGUAAAGGCUCGCCAAGGCGACGAUCAGUAGCUGGUCUGAGAGGAUGAUCAGCCACAUUGGGACUGAGACACGGCCCAAACUCCUACGGGAGGCAGCAGUGGGGAAUCUUGCGCAAUGGGCGAAAGCCUGACGCAGCCAUGCCGCGUGAAUGAUGAAGGUCUUAGGAUUGUAAAAUUCUUUCACCGGGGACGAUAAUGACGGUACCCGGAGAAGAAGCCCCGGCUAACUUCGUGCCAGCCGCCGCAGUAACAC